rnacentral:rRNA from 1 species
UACGUAGGGUGCAAGCGUUUGUCCGGAAUUAUUGGGCGUAAAGAGCUCGUAGGCGGUUUGUCGCGUCUGCUGUGAAAACGCGGGGCUCAACUCCGCGCCUGCAGUGGGUACGGGGCAGACUUGAGUUCGGCAGGGGAGACUGGAAUUCCUGGUGUAGCGGUGAAAUGCGCAGAUAUCAGGAGGAACACCGAUGGCGAAGGCAGGUCUCUGGGCUGUGAACUGACGCUGAGGAGCGAAAGCAUGGGGAGCGAACAGG